rnacentral:rRNA from 1 species
UUCUUCGGAUGAGUGGCGCACGGCUGAGGAACACGUGACUAACCUACCCCGGUGUGGGGGAUAACGGGUCGAAAGACUCGCUAAUCCCGCAUACGAUCCGCCUCGGCGGAGGAAAGCCGUAAGGCGCACUGGGCGGGGGUCGCGUCCCAUUAGAUAGUUGGUGUGGUAAUGGCGCACCAAGUCGAUGAUGGGUCUCUGGUCUGAGAGGACGACCAGACAGAUUGGGACUGAGACACGGCCCAAACUCCUACGGGGGGCAGCAGCAAGGAAUUUUCGGCAAUGGGCGCAAGCCUGACCGAGCAACGCCGCGUGGAGGAUGACGGCUCUUGGGUUGUAAACUCCUUUUGGGGGGGACGAUAAUGACGGUACCCUCCGAAUCAGGCCCGGCUAACUACGUGCCAGCAGCCGCGGUAAUACGUAGGGGCCAAGCGUUGUCCGGAAUUACUGGGCGUAAAGCGUGGGUAGGUGGUCGGUGAUGUGCCGCGUGAAAGCGCCGGAGUAAUGCCGGCGAGGUCGCGGUAGACACACGGACUCGAGGCUCGCAGAGGAACGUGGAAUUCCCGGUGUAGUGGUGAAAUGCGUAGAUAUCGGGAGGAACACCAGUGGCGCAAGCGGCGUUCUGGGCGAGACCUGACACUGAGCCACGACGGCGUGGGGAGCAAACAGGAUUAGAUACCCUGGUAGUCCACGCAGUAAACGAUGCAUACCAGGUGUGGGAUGGCGUUCGCGUCGUUCCGUGCCGCAGCUUACGCGAUGAGUAUGCCGCCUGGGGACUACGAGCGCAAGCUUAAAACUCAAAGGAAUUGACGGGGGCC